UGCUCUUAGUCUCGAAUAUUUCAGGGCAUCCCCACCCAGGGCCGUGCCCUUCCUCUCGGGUUUGGUUUUAGAAAGUGAGUGAGUGUAGAAAUAAGAAUCCAGCCGUCCUGCAGGCGGGGCAAACUGGCCCAGCGGUUCUACCAGAACCUGCAAGUUUAGAAAUCAUUUUCUAGAUGACAGGAGGAAAGCAUAAAUCCUGAAGACCUGGGUGGCUCUCAAAAUAGGCCACCUAGUUUGCUCUUGUAUCUGGUCUGGAGGUCUGUCCUAGAGUCUUAGAGGUGAAGCACAUAAGCUAGGCCCCUGUGCUCCUUCCUAGUUUUGGUGUGUGUUGUUUGCUCUGUCAGCUUCAGGGGCGUCUCAGAGCUCUUGGAAAAGGGUUCACCUUUCCCGGUACAGCUGUACCAUGAGUUUCAGUUACUGCCAGUAUGGCUAAAAGCAGUUUCAGGGCUUCCUUCUUGACUCUUCUUAGCCUGAAAAGCUGUUUGUAAGACAUUUAUGGAAGAUAUUUAGAGAAAACCGAGUUUCACCUAACGGGCAUUCACCCACCCCCCUACUUAUUUUAAUUGUGGUUUGGGGUUAAAUGCAGACUACUGGCAACUAUUGGUAACACAGCCCAGUCCCUAGAGCUGGGGUUUCCCCUGCUCCCAGAGGAAGUCCUGGAGGGAUGAGAGAAUCCAAAGGAAUGAACAGAAUCAGGGAAUCCUCCAAGUGCUGUCACGUGAUGGUCUUGGCUGAGGUCAGGAAAACCCAACUUGGUUCAGCUCUCUUUUCUCCAGGGUCUCCUAAACCUCAGCUCUGGCUCUUCAAGGGGACAGUUCUUCCAAAUCUUCCUACAGGCCUCUGAGGCUCCAGCUCAUCCAUACGAGCAGAGAGUGAAGGAAAUCCUGCCCCUUCCCUUUGGUCCCAAGGAAGAUGCAAUUGGAUUUAGGAUAUUCUUACUCACUGGCUUUCUUCAGCUAGGCCACAAGCCUUAAAAUGUUUAGUGUGUGCUAGGCCCUGGGGAUGCAGAGAUGCAAGAGUCCUUUUUCUCUCAAAGAACCCCAACUUUUCUGGGGAGAUAGUAGAUGUAAUUCCCAGCAAUUGGUGGCUAGUACAAGAAUGUUGGAGAGGGGCUUCUAAAAUCCCUGAAACAAUAUGAUUCAUGGAGGAAGCAACAUUUGUUAAGAAGUCAACAAAUAAUCUAUCUAGCUGUCACUGUGACUCUUUAAAAACAUUGCAACCUGAGGCUGGAGAGACGGCUCAGAGGUUAAGAGCACUGGCUCUUCCAGAGGCCCUGAGUUCAAUUCCCAGCAACUAUAUGAUGGCUAACAACCAUCUGUAAUGAGAUCUGGUGCCCUCUUCUGGCCUGCAGGCAUACAUGCAGACAGAGCACUACAACCUUUUAAAAAUGUUUAUGGGUGCUCAUUGAGCUGAAUGAAUGUAUUCUUGAAAUUAUCAUGUGCCUGUGUCUGUAAGCAUGUACGCACCCCCACUUGCACGUGUGCCAGAGCACAUUUGUGGAGGUCAGAGAAGAGUUUUUAGGAGUCGGUCCUUUCCUGGUCCUGUGGGAUUUGGAGAUUGAACUCAGGUCAUCAGGCUCACACAGCAAGCACCUUCACUCUCCGAGGCCUCCUGCUGACUCAAGCAUCACAUUCCUUUUGUGGAGGGCUUGGAAAACAUAGCAACUAAAACAGACUCCAAGGCUCUAGAAAUAGAAGAGCCACAGCUGAGAAGAGCCUAGGUCCUCAAAUCACUAUAUGGCAGAAAACUACUUGUUGGCCAGGAACCCAUCAAUGGGUCAGUAAUGUAGGUUGUACCCUGUACCAUGCAGAAACCUGUACAGCCUACCUGAACAUUCCUUCCAUCCAGAGACUAGGUCCCUGCACAGACCAGAGGAGGAUGUUGGAUGUCCUGGAGCUGGAGUUACAGGUGAUCCGGAGCUGCCUGAUAUGAGUGCUGGAGAUUAACUCGUGUUCUCUGAAGGAGCAACAAUUUCUGUUAAUCGCUGAGCCACAUUGCCAGUCCUCCAGAAGUCCUCUUAGCUCGACUGGAAAUCACCACUCCCUUUGGCAGGAAAGAUACAAAUGUGAAUGAUUAUAAUUUAUUAAAUAUGUAUGGAGUGACCUAUUAAUUCCCGAAGUCAUUUGGCUACAGGAAAUAUACCAGUGACCAAGACAUAAAAAUCACUGACUUGACGAGUUAUGCUAGAUAGUUUUAUGUCAACUUGACACAAGCUAGUGUCUUCUGGGAGCAGGGAACCUCAACUAAGAAAAUGCCUCCAGCUGGGCGGUGGUGGCACAUGCCUUUAAUCCCACCACUCGGGAGGCAG